rnacentral:rRNA from 1 species
UACGGAGGGUGCAAGCGUUGUUCGGAAUUAUUGGGCGUAAAGCGCGUGUAGGCGGCUUGUUAUGUCGGGUGUGAAAGCCCUCAGCUUAACUGAGGAAGUGCGCCCGAAACUGGCGAGCUUGAGUGCCGGAGAGGAUAGCGGAACACCCGGUGUAGAGGUGAAAUUCGUAGAUAUCGGGUAGAACACCAGUGGCGAAGGCGGCUAUCUGGACGGACACUGACGCUGAGACGCGAAAGCGUGGGGAGGCAAACAGGG